CUAAAAAUUACUAAAUAACUUGAUCAGUUUUUCAUUCAGCUAGGAAAAUAGUUUAAAUAUAUUAUGCACAUGCUCAAAACUGUUUUUAUUAUAUCUAUGAAAAUAUUUAUCAUAUAGCUUUGCCCUUUUUCUGUACAAUAAUAUGGUUAAAAUAACACAUUUGAUAAUGUUAUUUUACUUGGUUACUAUUUGCAUGACAACAAUAUAUAAUAACACUGUUCAUCUGAUCGCCAUGAAGCUGGGAGGUUGUUGAGUACACUCUUAAAGGUUUCUGGUAUAGUACAUCUAUACAAUUCUUCGACAACCCCACUAUCAUCCACAAAAACCGGAUUUUAGGUACUUUUGGUAAGAAAGAAUUAUUUUUUUUAUUUAUAGAUUACCAUGAUUUAUUUAUUCGUAUGACAUGCAUAACAGUACAACAACACUAACGAGAGUAUAGAUAAAUUGGAUUAAAGUAAAUAAAAUAACAUAAAAAUAAGUAAGAACAAAAUAUAAAUAAAAAUUUGAAUGNCCUUAACGGGCAUUCUUCGAUUAUGUGGCUCAUUGACUGUACACUUUCUCCGCAAUCACAAUUUGGGUCGUCUUUCAGUUUCCAUUUAUGCAUUAAAUCCUUACAUCUCCCUUGUCUAGUUCUUGUGCGAUUUAGUCUGGUCCAUAUUUUCCUCGAUUUCCUCGGUUACCAUGAUGAUAUAGUAAUAUGGAUAAAAAAAAAACUAAUAAAUUUAACUGCGUUGUCAUGGGCAUAUUUUUAUUAUGUCUAUAAUGUGUAUUUUAUGAAUGUGUAUAUAGAUAACUAGUAGGUAUUUUCUUUUUGUCAUAUAUGUUGAGAAUAUGAUUAAUUUGAAUUGCCGAAAAAAAAACAUUAAUAUUAUGUACACUUUAAUUUGUAGGUAAUGCAAAACAUACAUAGACAUACAUAACUUCUUGAAUCUUUUGAAUACUGCAUCUUCCACAGUUAUACCCCCCUAAUUAUUAUCCAUUAGUCGAUCUAAUCUAAUACAGGACAGAAAAAUGCACUGGAGCUUCAAAAACAGACAAGUAACUGGUAGCAAGAUAAGAAAAGAAUACAGGAAAAAAAGCAAUUGGCACAGAAAACCUCUUGACUUGUAUAACUUGUUUAAUUUUAUAGCUGAGUAGCU